UACGUAGGGCGCAAGCGUUGUCCGGAAUUAUUGGGCGUAAAGAGCUCGUAGGCGGUUUGUCGCGUCUGCCGUGAAAACCCGAGGCUUAACCUCGUGGCUUGCGGUGGAUACGGGCAGACUAGAGGUAGGUAGGGGAGAAUGGAAUUCCCGGUGUAGCGGUGAAAUGCGCAGAUAUCGGGAGGAACACCGGUGGCGAAGGCGGUUCUCUUGGCCUUACCUGACGCUGAGGAGCGAAAGCGUGGGGAGCGAACAGG
rnacentral:rRNA from 1 species